CGUUUUUCAACUAUUCAAAAUAUACCUAUAGGACUCGUUCUAUGGGCUACCAUUUGGGAAAAGCAAUCUAAUGGAAAAUUUGCUAAGGUUAAGAAGGAGAUUGUUCUUGCCACGGUUGACUUGUGAAGACUGUCACACACCUGGUUUAAUGGAACUUACACAACUACCGGUGGAAGUACAGCUUGCUACGUUUUCAAGGGUAAUAGUAUGUUCUAUUUAGGAGCCCAGACUGAGUUGGUAGAUAACACGCUAGCCUGGUGUAUUAUAGUUAAACCUGAACACUCAAUGCCCACUGGGUCUAGCAUGGAUAUGUCCUUUUGUUGGUCACUUCGAUAUUCGGGGUCAGGUAGUUAACAUGUGGUUUAUCAUAAGAUAAGAUGUCAAGGUGGAGGUCAUGCUUCUCCUGCUUAGGUAAGAUUUGUGGUUGUCGUAAGAGUUCUAGUAGAACUGGGAAGUCUGGUGAUAUAAAUUUCUCUGUAUCAAAUAAUAUUAACAUUGGAGUGAGCAC